rnacentral:rRNA from 1 species
AAAUUGAAGAGUUUGAUCAUGGCUCAGAUUGAACGCUGGCGGCAGGCCUAACACAUGCAAGUCGAACGGUAACAGGAAUCAGCUUGCUGUUUCGCUGACGAGUGGCGGACGGGUGAGUAAUGUCUGGGAAACUGCCUGAUGGAGGGGGAUAACUACUGGAAACGGUAGCUAAUACCGCAUAAUGUCGCAAGACCAAAGAGGGGGACCUUCGGGCCUCUUG